GGGGGUGAAAAGGGCUCGACUUAGGUAAGCCGGGUAAAAGUAGCAUGUCGCGGAGGCAGGGUUAGCCGCGUGAACAAUCCUUGCACAAUAUAAACGCAAACACGCAAGUGUUCAACCGUUUAGCACCGAUGGCAACAUUGGUGCCAGCGGGCGUACCAGCCUUCGGGUUUAAUUAAACUCGGAGCCUCUAUUCGUCUAGUCUACGGGAUGAAAUAGAGCCUUUAGUAGACUGGCUCUGAUGGUUCGCCUUUGGAUUCAGGGUGAGACUUAAAAGGCUGCGGCUUGCGCAAUCCUGUUUAGCGGAGUGCGCAAGAUUAAGCGUAAAAGAUAGACUAAACAUGUAGCGGCUUUUAUCUGAUUGCUUAGGGACGGCGGUUCGAUUCCGCCCACCUCCACCA
rnacentral:tmRNA from 1 species